GGGGAAUUUUCCGCAAUGGGCGAAAGCCUGACGGAGCAAGACCGCGUGAGGGAGGAAGGCCUUUGGGUUGUAAACCUCUUUUGUCAGGGAAGAACAAAAUGACGGUACCUGACGAAUCAGCCUCGGCUAACUCCGUGCCAGCAGCCGCGGUAAUACGGAGGAGGCAAGCGUUAUCCGGAAUUAUUGGGCGUAAAGCGUCAGUAGGUGGCCAAGUAAGUCUGCUGUCAAAGACCACAGCUUAACUGUGGAAAGGCAGUGGAAACUGCGGGGCUAGAGUGCGGUAGGGGUAGAGGGAAUUCCAGGUGUAGCGGUGAAAUGCGUAGAGAUCUGGAAGAACACCGGUGGCGAAAGCGCUCUACUGGGCCGUAACUGACACCGAGGGACGAAAGCUAGGGGAGCGAAAGGGAUUAGAUACCCC
rnacentral:rRNA from 1 species